GACUACUCCAACAUUAUAGAGAGGUAUCAAAUCACUGUCUGGCGUCCAGACGUAUUGUUUGUUACAUUGUCAACACUCGGUUAUUUUAUUGUUAAAUGGCGUAGUUCUUCCGCUUAGAAAAACGAAAAUAAUCACUCCGCAUACUUGUGUGGUUUUGAAAUGAAAAAUUUCCGGAACAUUGACUUUUCGUCGGCUUUGUUACGCAAAUCAGUUCGCGGAAAGAUAUGAGACGACAACUGCAGAUUUCACUCAGCUUGCUUUCAACCACGGUAGCUGCACCAAGAGAUCGUUCGCCUUUUUGCUGAGAAUCUUUGAGUAACAGAUGUCAGAGAGGCCACUGAUGUUUUAAGGAAUUACCUUGAGGAACAAGAAAGGUGUGUCAUAUACUUGCAUUAUUAUUUGCGAAAAUAGAAAAUAGAUAAUAAUAAGAAUGUUAAAUGUAUGCUAAUAAUGAAUUGUAAUAAUGAUACUGAUAAACAUCCUUUUUUCGGUUUGCUCUUUCUAAAUUUCAGAAAGCUUCCUUAAUGAAAUGA